GCAGUACUACUGAACACAACCCUCAUCCAACUCAUGGAGAAUGGAGACCUUAAAGAUCAUAACCAUCAUCCAAACUGUUGCUUUAAUACAAGGAUACGACAGUCUCAUCUCUACUGAGCCUCCGGAGGUCAGGGUCAAUGUUAAACUUGUGUCACAAGCAGAUCAGGGAUCUGGCUCGUGCUCCUGGACCCUCAGCACCUCUUCAGUUAUAGCCGUGGAAGAUAUUAACCGUCUCUCCUCUCAGAUCUGUCUGUCUCUGGGAUGUGGUGAUGUGUAUAAAUUAAGGGAAUAUGAUGCAGAAUUCAACAGUACCUGUCUCACAGGCUGCCUUUACCGUGACUCUGAGCUAAGCAACUGCAGUCAGACUGUGAGAAGCCACUGCAGG
rnacentral:lncRNA from 1 species